rnacentral:rRNA from 1 species
UACGAAGGGGGCAAGCGUUGUUCGGAUUUACUGGGCGUAAAGGGCGCGCAGGCGGCGCGUCAAGUCGGGUGUGAAAGCCCCGGGCUCAACCUGGGAAUUGCAUUUAAGACUGCAUAGCUAGGGUGCGGAAGAGGGAAGCGGAAUUUCCGGUGUAGCGGUGAAAUGCGUAGAUAUCGGAAGGAACAUCAGUGGCGAAAGCGGCUUCCUGGUCCAGCACCGACGUUCAGGCACGAAAGCGUGGGGAGCAAACAGG